rnacentral:lncRNA from 1 species
GUUCUGCAGAUUCUGGAUUUGCCAGCCUCCAUAAUUACACAGGCCAAUUUCUUAUAAUAAAUCUCUCUCUGUAUGUACAUGUAUAUGUAUAUGUGUGUAUACAUAUGCUCAUACUGUGUAUAUACCCUCUUGGUUUUGUUUCUCUGGAGAACACUAAUAUGCUGGGGGUGUCUCUCUUUUUGAACACACACCAACUGAGACUAGAAACCUUGCUGAGCAGAUGAGCAGCAAGAAAAGGUGAGGGAUAAUUGAGUCACAGAGCAGUUUAUUCAUUUCCUAUGGUUGCCAUAACAAACUGUCAAGAAACGGUUAGCUUAGUGGUUUACCUAUAUUAUUUCAUUUAAUUUUCACAACAUCUCUCUGAGCCAGGUACUAUUUUCUUUAUUUUGGAGAUGAGGUAGUGAGGUUA